UACGUAGGGCGCAAGCGUUAUCCGGAUUUAUUGGGUUUAAAGGGUGCGUAGGCGGCUUAUUAAGUCAGGGGUGAAAGACGGUGGCUCAACCAUCGCAGUGCCUUUGAUACUGAUGAGCUUGAAUACACUAGAGGUAGGCGGAAUGUGACAAGUAGCGGUGAAAUGCAUAGAUAUGUCACAGAACACCGAUUGCGAAGGCAGCUUACUAUGGUGUGAUUGACGCUGAGGCACGAAAGCGUGGGGAUCAAACAGG
rnacentral:rRNA from 1 species